rnacentral:rRNA from 1 species
GACGAACGCUGGCGGCGUGCUUAACACAUGCAAGUCGAGCGGUAAGGCCUUUCGGGGUACACGAGCGGCGAACGGGUGAGUAACACGUGGGUGACCUGCCUUUAGCUUCGGGAUAAGCCUGGGAAACCGGGUCUAAUACCGGAUAUGACCUCAUGUCGCAUGGUGUGGGUGGAAAGUUACUUCGCUAGAGAUGGGCCGCGGCCUAUCAGCUUGUUGGUGGGGUGAUGGCCUACCAACGGCGACGACGGGUAGCCGGCCCUGAGAGGGCGACCGG